AUGGACGGCAACAAGAAGCUUGUGACCGCGGCCGAGAAGACCAUUCCAGCUACCGUCCAGCGGGCCAGCAGAUGGGCGCUCUACAACGCCUGCUUCACCGUGGGCCACGCGGUCACCUACGCACUCCUCCAGUCCUCCUUCGCCCUGCGGUGCGUCCAGUGGACGGACGCCAAGGCCGCCCAGGAGAGCGCCCUCUGUCUCUGGAUGCUGCGCUGCGCCGUACUCCAGGCGGCCGCGGCGGCGCUGGCGCUGCACCUGUCGUGCCGCCGCCGCUGGGUCCGCCACGCCCUGGCCUACCUCGCGCUCGUGGUCGCCUUCGUCGGCCACUGCAUGUACGUCGCCGCCGUCCGCCUCCUCCUCGCCGCUGACUGCCCUGGAUACGUCUUGCUCAGGAUCUUGUGCACCGCGUACAUUGCCUUCUUCCUAUGGGGCGACCUGCUCUACUUCCUUGGCCUCCUCCUGGGAGGUGACAACUGA
rnacentral:rRNA from 1 species